rnacentral:miRNA from 1 species
CUUCCAGUAGCACCUUAGAGACCAACUAAGUUUGUCAUUGGUAUAAGCUUUUGUGUGCAUGCACACUUCUUCAGAUACACAAAAGCUCAUACCAAUAACAAACUUAGUUGGUCUCUAAGGUGCUACUGGAAG